GAUAGGAGUUCAUUAGAAGGCAACGAAAAUUGAAGAAGUUUUUGUCCAUUUGUCAACAAGUGGAUUCCUAACGUUUGAUGUUCACACCAUAGCAUUUUUUUUAAUUGACAAGCUAAAACACUAAAAAAAGAAGAAGAAGCAUAUAUUCAAUAUAAUAAAAUUGUUACCUUAAGGGACUUACAAGAGUCGAACAAUGCUCCAAUCGCAAUUUUCAAAUUAGCACGACUAUGGUGGCAAAGCUGUCAAUUAGCAUCAAUAAAAGAUCACCUUUAAAUAAUGCUAUUCUUUUUUUUUUUUUUUUUUUCACUUUUCACUUUUUUCUUUUUUUAAUUUUAAACAUAAACAAAACAAACCUUUAAACGACACGGGCAUAAAUGAGGCCCAAAAUAGAUAUAACGGGCUUGGGUAAUGUAGGCUAUAACAAAGAUGGGCUUAAAGGAAGUGGGUUAUUUAGUAUAAGGAAAAGAUAGGAAUUAGCAUAUGGGUCUCGAUCUGGAGCAGCGGUUGCGAGGAAAUUGGGAUAUCCGUGAUUGUACAAUUACGGUUUGCAAUGAUAGCUUGUGGCAGAGAAUUGGUCGGGGCCGACGGCAGUGAUUCUGGUGAGUUGACAUUGUGAGUAGUGACUGGCGGCCAGGGUUGUGACGAGUGUUGGUUUGCUGCCAACGAAAUGAGUUAUGUGUUGGUUGGUUGCCGAUUUUGUGGAAUAUGUAAUGGAGUUGGGCUGAUUGUGUGGGAUGUUGGCAAUUUGAGGGUUGCUGGCGGUAACCGAAGCAAGUUCUGGAGUACAGUUCGCGAGAUUAGAGUGGAGGGG
rnacentral:lncRNA from 1 species